CCUUGGUUGAGGUGGUUCCUCGUGAACAUGGCGGGUAUCGUGAAUCAUUAUUUCUGCUGUUUCUGUCGUAUGAGUUAAAAUAUUUGUCUAGCGAUGUCAAAGGAUGGCCAAACAUAAAACAAGCGGUGGUUGGUAAUAUUCAAGAACAGCAGGCGAGGAUUGAAAACCGUAGUGAACUGGUGAAAUGAGCGAAGCCAGGAGGUUGUGGACAUGUUCAUUAUAAUGUUGCUUUACCUCAGAUGAUAAAAUACCCAUCAUGGUGUAUAUAUAUUAAAACCAAUGCAGUCCAAACAUGAAUAAUCCGAAUCCAAAGUUGGAACGAAGCCGGAUUCCGGACGGACACCACGAUAGCUGUCUCGUGUGCGCACUGCGCAGUGUACUUGGUCGUGAGGAGUGACAUCAAUGCUUGUCUUUCUCGCCUGAGUCGUUGACGUGCAAGGACGUCUCGUUGUUCUUCUCCUGUGACCAGAGGUGUACUCUGUCGUUAAGGCCGUGGGUGGUGCACAUGUGCCGGACAGCCAGCUGAUGGGCGCCAGACUGUAAUGGUGAUCAGCCGGCUGCUACUGCCACCCGAGCCGGUGAGGCCAUGAACUGCUCCUCUCUGCCGCCUUCAGAUGGACCAUCUGCCCUUCGACCACAUCUGUUCCUUUGGUGUUCUAUAUGCCGAGGAAUCCGGGAGAAGGUGACUCAGGGUAUCUCAACACAACUCACCGUCACUGUCCGUCUUAACCAUCAGAGUUCUUGCCGCCAGCUGAGGACACACCGUUCAUCAUUGUGUCUGAGGUGCAAGAGAUGCGGGGAGGAGACUGCCAGGGAGGUGAUGGGAGAGAGGGAGCCCCGUGCUGCUUCACCUUUCCCAGGGUGAGUGCUGGCAGUCUGGCCAGGCGGCGGUGGUGGUGGUGGUGGCGGUGGUGACGCUACCCGGGGACAGGCAGCGUGGUGGUGGUUGGCCUGGUGUCUCUGGCCAGGUGGUGCGGGGCCUGGAGGAGGUGCAGGAGGCAGCCCGCCACUGCCCCACUGCUGAGGUGACUGUGGUGCAGUGUGGCGUGGUGCUGGCACGGCACUGCUGCACCACACCACACACCACACCACUGCCACCAUCAUUUAUUUAUUUAUUUAUUUUUGAGUAGACAAGCAAACACAUACACACGCCCAUUAACAGACAGACACACACACACAUACAGACAGACAGACAGACACACAUGUAAAGUUGAGAGUGCGGGUUGUGAUGGUGGCGGCUGUUGGUGUGAAUAUUGGCGGCAGGA